CUUCACACGGAGCAGCCGAAUGACAUUGGUAAUGUGUGUGUGUUUCUACAGCUGGGGUCUAGGAUGGGGAGACAAGGGAUACAUCAAGAUGACCAGGAACAAACACAACCAGUGUGGCAUUGCUACUGCAUCCAGCUACCCGCUGGUCUGAGCAGGUCCAGGACUUUCCUCGGUGAGAAGGAGAAGAGUGAGGCAUAAUUUACUUUAAUUUAAUAAAGAAGUAAAGAAGCUGAGUUAUGGAACAAGAGGCUCUUUUGUUGUUCCACGGAAGAUAGCAGGGUACAGAGUCUGUCUGCACUUUUAAUAGAAUACCGUUUUUUAUGAAUAUUGUAAAUAAAUGUAAAGAAAUAAAAUGUUUUACACUGAGAGAUUUAAAAAAAAA